GACAGAGGAUGCAAGCGUUAUCCGGAAUGAUUGGGCGUAAAGCGUCUGUAGGUGGCUUUUUAAGUCCGCCGUCAAAUCCCAGGGCUCAACCCUGGACAGGCGGUGGAAACUACCAAGCUGGAGUACGGUAGGGGCAGAGGGAAUUUCCGGUGGAGCGGUGAAAUGCGUAGAGAUCGGAAAGAACACCAACGGCGAAAGCACUCUACUGGGCCACUACUGACACUGAGAGACGAAAGCUAGGGGAGCAAAUGGG
rnacentral:rRNA from 1 species